rnacentral:lncRNA from 1 species
AAGUCAUAGAAUAAUGAAAAAGGAAAAUAAUGAAAAUAAAGAAAAAAAUAAUUCUUUAGCUCGUGUUUUAAGUUAUCUUUUCUGUAUCUCAUAAAAUCCCCAUUAAAAGCUUUUGCACCUGCUCUUCUCAUCAGCAUAAAUCAGAGACUUAUGUCGGAAGUAUUAAUAAACAUUGUCAAGAGGACUGCGAGUGCAUUCAUUCUCAGUGAGUCAGGCAGACAAGCAAGGCACAAGCAUCUUGGCACUUAAGAGCAUUGAUCAUACAUGGACCAGCUGAAAAACAGGAAAAUAAUCUGUGUGUUGUUUGUUAACUCUCUGAACUUUCCAUCGGUUUUUGGUAGCAGCCAAAGUAAAUCUUGCCUUCGUCCUGUGUGUCUGUGCCUAUUAAAAAUGCCUAUCCAUUCAGUCAACAUCCAGGCGGCUUAUGUUCUCCUCCUCUUCAUUUUUCUUCUCAACUGCAGCAAAAGAAAUACUCUGGGGCUGCAUUUUCGAAAAGACUUAAAAACUCUUCCUCUUUUUGCUGAGAAGAGCAGGACGAUGGGAAAGCCAAAAAUCAACGGAGCUCAAACCCAAUGCAAUCAAUAGCUAAGCAGAUGGCAACAAAAGGAACAACUUCAAUAGGCAACAACGUGUCAUAUAAGCCAGCCCCUUUACCGGAUAAAAAAGGUGCGACGGGAAAGGACUUUCCGAUUUCCAUCUAAAUUUUGGGUGCUUGGCUUUUUAGAUUUCUCGACCAAAAGAGCAAACACAAAUGGUUGGUGCUAAAUGUACAAUGCAAGCUGAAAAUCAGGAGGAUUAAAUGGAUAUCUCUCGCUCUCCUUUGUCUGGUGCUUUCCCUUUAAUUAAUUUGCCUUAUCUAGUGUCUCUCGUCAGAGUUUUGAUAAAAAUUGAAUAGUAUAAUGCAUGGCCUAGCGAUGAGUAUGUCAAGCGUAUGUUAUUG